GUACCUUGUUUUUAUAAUACAAUGAAAGAAAGGAACAUACCAUGCGACAGUUCAUCGCCCGAUCGCUGACACUUCAUCGUAUAUCACUUUGUCGACUAAAAAUUGCAUUGUACAAUACUACAGCGGCCAUUUUAUUCGCGAGACAAUUCAUCGUGUAAUUAUUUCAUCGCAUGAAAUAUUAUCAAUUUGGAGAGAUACUAUUUAUUCAGAAUGAACACAUAAGGUACUAAGUACUAAGUACCCAUGUAUUUAUUUUUAUUACCAAUUUAUAAAAUGUAUAAUUUUAUCUCUCGCGAGUAUACUGCAAUAUGUGAAACUGUUACAACAUUAUAGUGCAAUUUACAAUAGUACUCAAGAAUUCUAAAAAAAUGUAAUAAAAUGAUGGUCAUACGCAGGUGCACCCACUGUUGUAGAUGGGAAAUUGGGUAGGUAAGAUACAGAAAAUAAUUUAAUGUAUAUCUGUAAGCAACGAUUACCCAUUGCUAACAAAAACGAUUUUAAGGGGAGUUCAGUUGAUAAUGAUGCUUUGUCAACAAUAUA